GUACGGGAGCACAAAGGGAUGGAGAGAUUGUUCUCUGCCAGUGAGGGUGAAGGGGUUGGAGGAGGAUGUGGCGUGCUCUCCGGAUCAUGGCGAGAAAGAACAGUCUCUGGUAACCACUACUGGACUCUCUACCUCCAUGAGAUCAACGUUUUUAGCUCCCACAUAUGAAUGAGGACAUAUAAGAUUCACCUUUCCAUGCCUGGCUUAUUUUGCUUAACAUAAUGACCAUCCAUGUUGCAAC
rnacentral:lncRNA from 10 species